UACGUAGGGAGCAAGCGUUGUCCGGAAUCAUUGGGCGUAAAGCGCGCGUAGGUGGCCACAUAAGUCCGUUGUGAAAGUCAAAGGCUCAACCUUUGAAAGCCGAUGGAUACUGUGUGGCUAGAGUACGGAAGAGGCGAGUGGAAUUCCUGGUGUAGCGGUGGAAUGCGCAGAUAUCAGGAGGAACACCAAUAGCGAAGGCAGCUCGCUGGGACGUUACUGACACUGAGGCGCGAAAGCGUGGGGAGCAAACAGG
rnacentral:rRNA from 1 species